rnacentral:rRNA from 1 species
GUGCCAGACUCCUACGGGAGGCAGCAGUGGGGAAUCUUGCACAAUGGGCGAAAGCCUGAUGCAGCGACGCCGCGUGAGCGAAGAAGGCCUUUGGGCCGUAAAGCCCUGUCGGGAGGGAAGAAGGAAGCGACGGUACCUCCCAAGGAAGCCCCGGCUAGCUACGUGCCAGCAGCCGCGGUAACACGUAGGGGGCGAGCGUUAUCCGGAAUCAUUGGGCGUAAAGGGUGCGUAGGCGGCCUUUUAAGCGCGGGGUCUAAGGCGGUGGCCCAACCACCGUUUGCCCCGCGAACUGGAGGGCUAGAGUGUCGGAGAGGGAAGCGGAAUUCCUAGUGUAGCGGUGAAAUGCGUAGAUAUUAGGAGGAACACCAGAGGCGAAGGCGAUUAACUGGACCGUAACUGACGCUGAGGCACGAAAGUGUGGGUAGCAAACAGGAUUAGAUACCCCGGUA